GCUCGGACAUCCUUUGUGAAUGGCCCCUUAGCAGUUUCACUCGAGUCAAGUCGAAUCAUUGGUUUAAGUCGAGUCGAAUCAAUAACUAGACUUAACUUGAGUCAGGGAAUUUGAUCAAGUCCACCCCAUCCUUGUCCCCAGGGCCUCUCGGCCGCGCGCGUCCUCCCUAGGCCCUGGAACAUACGGAACCGGAAGUGCAAGUAAACUUGCAGUAGUUUCUAAAGCGCAUGGUCUUGAAUUGGGACACUUUAGCACCCGUAACAAUUUUCAAAGUGAAGUAUUACGAAGAAACGAUGUAUUUGCGUUGACAUAUGUUGAUAGAAUAAUUUUUCCUAGCUAAAAUUGCUCAACUUCUGCGAAAUAGGAUUUCUCUGAGAAGCCAAUCAGAUCUCUCGCUUUAGUCGCCUAACCCACAACCUACUUUUCAACGAGUUGCCGAUUGAAAAUGGCUCUGGGGACGAGAAUGGUCCACCUCACGCUUUUUGUAAUGGUUCGCUACCAUAGCUUGCAGUUUGAAAUUAGUAAUCAAAUCCUACGUUUUAAGCUAAUCA